rnacentral:sRNA from 2 species
ACUGGACCUUUUAAACCCUGUACAGCUCUUCUGUCGCUGAUGAAAAGUUUAUGAAACAGGGAGAUCCCGCAGGUUUUUUAACUAACUAACCAUGCCUAGCACAUGUAAGAAACCCGCACUAAGGUGCCAGCGCUAUACCGAAGCAGGUAAUUAGUGCUAGGCUAGACAUCAAUGUAGAGGUGUAGGUUAUAUCUAGAUAUUGUACACAGACUCUGUACAACUGGAGUAAAUAGAAAUAAUACAUACUAUGUACCUUCCUCUCAAAAAAGAAAAAGAAAAGAAAGGAAAAAAAUAUUGUAUAUACUGAAGA